ACUGUGUGAUUUUUGUUCUUUAGUAGAAGGAUAACAUGACAUAGCAGGAAUAAUACUGCCUUUUCUUUCUGGCAUGGAUCAAGAGAAAAGAAAAUACAAGAAAACAGACAGAAGCAAGGCAAGGUACUUCUAUGGAAGGGUGAGCCCUCACAGAUGGAGCAAUGGGGCGCGCACACCUGAACAAGGGAGGGGAAGGAGUUCUUAUCCCUGAUGCAUGUGACCCCUGCUGCUGUGUCCUUCCCCUAUUGGCUAAGGUUAGACCACACAGCCUAAACUAAUUCCGAUUGGCUAAUUCAAAGAGAGCGACGGGGGCUUCUGACAGCUUUGGAGAUUGUGACAUUGGAAUAAAGGAAAAACGUACAGGACUCAUGAAGCGCUGAAAUGUUCACAAAUAUCAAGCAAAAGUCAAUGAAAUUUAUUUUGAGCUAUUUACAUCAUUUAAUAAUUGAGCAAGGUAUACUCCUAUGAACAAAAUUUGGAGCAUGUUUGUCUCUCUCUGCCUGGCGUCUUCAGAAUUUGGAAACUAGUUAUGGUUUAUAAUCAGCUAUAGAAUUUUAACACGUGCUCUCAAAUGCAAGUUUCUGAUAACUUUGGAGAUUGUGACAUUGGAAUAAAGGAAGAGCUGGAAUGUUCAUGAAUAUCAAGCAAAAGUCAUGGAAAUUUAUUUUGAGCUAUUUACAGCAUUUAAUAAUUGAGCAAGGUAUACUCCUAUGAACAAAAUUUGGAGCAUGUUUGUCUCUCUCUGUCUGCCUGGCAUCUACAGAAUUUGGAAACUAGUUGUGCUGUACUGCAUGAGAAUGCCUGCAUUUAGUAUGCGAACUGGAAUUGGCAAAGGACGAUGGCUGCUCUCCCGCUAACUUUAAAUAAGUCAUGUCACAAAUUGCAUUCGUUCCCAGAUUUCCUAAACUUUCCAGAGAAAAUGGUCUUCUCCCUGGCUCAGCAAGAAGAUGAACUUUAAACACUGAGAAACUGGUCAUCUCCCUGGCUCAACCAGAAGAUGAACUUUAAACACUACUCUCAAUGACUUGAUGUUCCCAUCACUACUCCUGUCAUAAAGGGAGGGGACUCAGAUAUUGAGAAUUUUAUGAUAGUGUGAACUGUCUGGUAUGUCAUUUAAGUAAGCCCGUUGCUGAAAUAUUUUCCAUGUUAUUAGAAAGAGCUGAAGAGAGGGAUUGAGAUGGCUUCUUUAUUUUUUGUCUUUUGGGAAUUAAAGGAACCUGGUUCAACAAGGGCCUACACCUAAGUCUCUUGUUGUACCAGAGUACAAUUUAGGACUGCUCCUGAGGAAGGAAUUAGCUAGAAAUCUAGAGAGUAAGGGUAACAGAUUUACAUAGAAUAACAGCCUCAGUAUUUUUGGUUCCUCUCCAGUAAAGAUCACAAAGAAUAUUGCUAAAUCGCUAAAACACCUUUGCAAUAACGUAAGGGCUUACAACUAUAUACCAAUGUAGCUCAGUUACUAAACUGGAGUAAACUAAUUUCUCUUGUGUAGAAAAAUUGGUUGGCUGUGGUUUUAUAGCAGAUCUGCAAUUAUUAAUAGUUAUGCCAAUAAUCGUUUAACAGUGCAUAUGUUAAUAUAUAUGGAAAGACAAUGUGUAUAGACAGAUGUGUAAAAUUGAAAAAUAAACAUAUAACAAGAGAGAAACAUCUAUCGAACAGACAAUAUACAUACACAUCAAACACAACAGCAGUUUUAGUGACCAUAAUAUUUAUUUCUCAUUUUUACAUUGCUUACUUUAGUGACAACUGAAAAUGACAGUUGGCAAUGCAGCUAACAGUUUCAAUAAAAGUAUAAAACAAAAGACUGUGUACAAAGCACCUGUCUUUCCGCUUUUGUAAUCUUCCGUUGGAAAAAAUUUACACACCUAAGUAACCAUCUGUUUUCUUCAAGAAAAAAUCAUUCUUAUUUCUCUCUCUCAUCUUGAAAACAGCUGUCAGCCAGGAGGGCAGAGCUGAAAUUUAUUGCCACAUCACAUGAAGCAUAGAACAGACUCCACUACUCCUUGAGAUUCAAAACUUUGCCUCUCACAAAGUUACCUUUUAUUUUCCUCUUGUUUGUCACUCAUCUCCCCUAGUGUGCUCUUUUUAUUUCUUUUACUAUUAAUAAUAAAAUCUGUGGAUGACUGU
rnacentral:lncRNA from 1 species